rnacentral:rRNA from 1 species
AGUGAACGCUGGCGGUAGGCCUAACACAUGCAAGUCGAACGGCAGCACAGGAGAGCUUGCUCUCUGGGUGGCGAGUGGCGGACGGGUGAGGAAUACAUCGGAAUCUACUCUGUCGUGGGGGAUAACGUAGGGAAACUUACGCUAAUACCGCAUACGACCUACGGGUGAAAGCAGGGGAUCUUCGGACCUUGCGCGAUUGAAUGAGCCGAUGUCGGAUUAGCUAGUUGGCGGGGUAAAGGCCCACCAAGGCGACGAUCCGUAGCUGGUCUGAGAGGAUGAUCAGCCACACUGGAACUGAGACACGGUCCAGACUCCUACGGGAGGCAGCAGUGGGGAAUAUUGGACAAUGGGCGCAAGCCUGAUCCAGCCAUACCGCGUGGGUGAAGAAGGCCUUCGGGUUGUAAAGCCCUUUUGUUGGGAAAGAAAUCCAGCUGGCUAAUACCCGGUUGGGAUGACGGUACCCAAAGAAUAAGCACCGGCUAACUUCGUGCCAGCCGCCGCAGUAA